rnacentral:rRNA from 1 species
UACGGAGGGUGCAAGCGUUAUCCGGAUUUACUGGGUUUAAAGGGUGUGUAGGCGGAUAUUUAAGUCAGAGGUGAAAUCUCCGGGCUCAACCCGGAAACUGCCUUUGAUACUAUUUAUCUUGAAUUUCGUUGAGGUUGGCGGAAUAUAUCAUGUAGCGGUGAAAUGCAUAGAUAUGAUAUAGAACACCGAUUGCGUAGGCAGCUGGCUGAACGACGAUUGACGCUGAGGCACGAAAGCGUGGGUAGCGAACAGGAUUAGAUACCCCCGUAGUCC